GGGUCGGUCGGAUAGUGGCAAUUCCGCCGCGCUGUAAACGCGGUGCCUUACGGCUUCGGGGGUUCGAGUCCCUCCCGGCCCA
rnacentral:tRNA from 1 species